GUUCAUAUCAGCAUCCUGUUGGUGAGUGUGUGGUGCUGAUAAUGCCAAGGUUGCAGGUUCGAUCCCCGUAUGGGGCA